CUGUUGUCUUUGAGGCGCCGGAGGAGAGAGAGAUUUGCUUUGCAGAGGCAUUGAGGGAGAGAGGGAGCCACGCUCUGCUGCCGAUCCGCCACCGAACUGCCGCACGCGGGGAGCCAUUGCCAUCGCGGAGAGAGAAGCGUUGCCGUUGAGCUAGAGCCGCCGCUGGGGGUUCUUCGCCGUCACCGUCUUCGUCAUCCUCGCGAGCUGUAGCACCGCACAGUCCAGCCACCGUGACCUCCGUAGAGCCACGUCGUUGCGCUGUUCCGCCGUCACCGCUGUUGCCCUAGAGAAUGUGUCAAGUGUACAACCUGUAGACUCUGGAUUUGACAGAUCCAGAGAAUUUGGGUUUAUUACUUACAAUUCGGUUGAGGAGGCGUCAAGUGCCAUUCAGGCCUUAGAUGGGCAGG